rnacentral:rRNA from 1 species
UACGUAGGUGGCAAGCGUUGUCCGGAUUUACUGGGCGUAAAGAGCGCGCAGGCGGUCGUACAAGUCGCGUGUGAAAGCCCCCGGCUCAACUGGGGAGGGUCACGCGAUACUGUUCGACUCGAAGGCAGGAGAGGGAAGCAGAAUUCCCGGUGUAGUGGUGAAAUGCGUAGAUAUCGGGAGGAAUACCAGUGGCGAAGGCGGCUUCCUGGCCUGUUCUUGACGCUGAGGCGCGAAAGCGUGGGGAGCGAAUGGG